rnacentral:rRNA from 1 species
GACGAACCGUGCAAACGUUACUCGGAAUCACUGGGCUUAAAGCGCGCGUAGGUGGCGACAUAAGUCAGGGGUGAAAUCCCAUCGGCUCAACCGUGGAACUGCCUUUGAUACUGUGUUGCUAGAGUGAGGUAGGGGCUCGCGGAACUUCCGGUGGAGCGGUGAAAUGUGUUGAGAUCGGAGGGAACGCCAGUGGCGAAAGCGGCGAGCUGGAUCUCUACUGACACUGAGGCGCGAAAGCUAGGGUAGCGAACGGG